GACAGUUAAAAGUAACUUGUGGCCAAAAAAAAAUUCAACAACAAUUUUCUUCUGAAGAGAAACAUUCUUAGGAACAUCAUCCAAAUAAAUCAGAAAUUGAGUUAAUUCACGAACGAUACUGUUAUUGACAUAAGAUCAUAUCGGCGUUUAUACAAUAGCGGACCUUCAUCAGACGGAAAUUUGCGUUUGAAGCGUCGAUCCGUUAAGGCGGCAACGUCAACCAAACGAUAUAACCUAAUUCUCGCCGAUUAAAUGCAACAGUUGCGAUAAGGCUUGUAAAUUGAGCGAAUUAUGCCGCUGCUAGCAGUGCACGACGUAGCCUCGACCGAUUAACAUGCGCAUUACGCCAGGUCGAAACGUUCAACCUGACAUUUGCAUCGAAACGUGUCGAACAAUCUCAGACUUCUACGACACCUGCUGCCUUCCAUUACUUAUCUACAUUGCUACCGUUUAUUGAUCUAUAAACGCUGUAUUGUAAUAAGAAAAUUCUGCAAAAUUUGAAAUGCAUUGGUACAGUACUAUGGUUCAAUUGCUCUCCAAGAAUGUCAUACGUAAAUUGCGAUAAUAUUUGAAACACCCUGCCUCUGAACUCGAAGGAAAUGACGACGGACAGAGAGGAAUGAGCAGGAAUGUUCUUUGAAACGGCCAACGUUAACCUUUACGAUGGAAACACUUCAGUUCAGGUUGAUCUUCGACAAAUUGUUAGUCCGUACGCCCGAGCAAUUUCAAUCCUCCGCUAGUUCCAAUUUCCUGCGCGUCAUUACGGCUGUUCGUAAGCCGUCGACCACGAGAAAAUCUUACGCCGUUGCCGUUUCGAAGAAAGCAGUGGUACCCUAACUGGCGUCGAAGCUUCUGUUCGCGACAGCCAUCGGCUUUCCCUCUUCCGCUAUAUCCUCCGCGUUCCUCACCCUCUCGAUCAAUCGGCCAAGUGAAACGCAGCAGCGGAGGAUAUUCAAGGCUGGUGCACAAGCGACGCUUUCCACUGUUGCGUAUCGAGGACGUAGGAGGGCAUGAACACACAGAGCCUCAUACCUGGUUCCUUCGUUUUGCACACGGGUGCGAAACGAGCCGGCGCGGCGCGGCGGAGGGAUCGGAGGGGAUACUGAAGCAGAGACGUGAGUACGGCUCCCGGAAUAUAGGGGUUGAAGAGGGGUGGCAGAGGUCGCAGAGGUCGGACACCACGUAAAUUGCAUACCCGAUUGCGGUCUACUGAAGAGUGGUGCCCUCCAGUGGGCAACCCCCUCUUCAGACCGUACCAACCCCAAACUGGAUCUAACAAGCCAGCAACCACAGACUAGGUUCGGCUUGCAACGGGACUGCCACCUCUAGGGACUGCCGCCGGCUAAAGCCGGUGAACUGUCCCUCAUGUCCUGACUGGAAACCCCUGCUUCCUUUCUCUUUCUCUUUCUCUUUCUAUUCCUACCUUCUUCCACACCCGUGAAAACCUUCGAACCCAUCCGGCCGUCCUAACAAGCCCGCUUACCUUCGGCUUGUAAACCUACUGACGUUACUGUCCAGACGAUGUUUCUCUGAUCGCGACCUUCUUGGUGACAGGUCCAUACAACGACUGCGUGGAUGGAAAAAUUUACGAGAUAUGUUACGUAAACUAGAGCUGGAAUCCUUAGGGUUAAAAGGUAACUCGUGAGUAGCACAAUACAGGUGGCUUGCACUGGGAUUGUUAAUCUUUUAGUUUGAAAAAUUUAUAUUUCCAUGUUUCUAAAUUUCCAAGUUUUCAAUUUGCAAAUUUGCAGAAAUAUAGAAAUUUCAAAUUUCCAACUUCCCAAAUAUUCAGUGCACACUUGAUCUGCUCCUCCUUGACUUCGAGUAUAAUGUCUAGAGAGCAUAAUUCUAGAAAUUGGGUACUUGUACUUCCCAUCGGAAAUUAUUUAAAGAAAACGAAACAACAAAGAACCAUGAAUUUUUAUUUUUUGAUGGUGGUUUGAAAAGACCUGCCUCGAAUGUUGUUCUAAUCUCGGUACAUUUGCAAGGCCAGCUCCUAUUGUAAGUGGAUUUCAUGGAAGUACAAUUGCUACAAUAGAGCGAGAACUUUAAUGAGUCGCAACACAGUAUAAAGUCAGGCAUCACCUCGUUGCUGUUGGAGACAGAAAAUCCCCGCCCGCCAUUUUCCUCGGAGAGCACCCUAGGAACCUUCUAAAUACCGGACACUCUAAUUACCGCUUCUGGAUGUUGCGGUAUAAAAGAAACCAUUCCAUAAUAAGUGUCACUGCCAGACCCAACUAGUGAACUUAAAUAAACUGCUAAUUGCAAGAAUCUUUCUUAACCCUGCACGAUAUUCUUUUCCUUCUCCACUCGCAAUUUGUCACCUCGUUCUGAUCAAAGACAAUAUGAAUGCAAAUGAAAGGACAUAACAGAAGUCUGUUGGUGAAACAAGAAUCGUAAGGGAGGUGGGAAGUUAAUGUAUGCUAACUGUGGCCAGGGGAGUUCAUGAGGAAAGAAUACUCAAGUAGUAUUGUAAACUUUUGAAAUGCUAUUAAUGUAAAAUACCAGAAUUCUGCCGAUGAUCCUGUAGAUGGGCUGUUCACCGUUGAGCCUUUAGUCGUGUGGUUAGAAUCCCGAAGGAUUUGAAUAAACCUUUCGAGUUUAAAAUCAAAACUGCCAUCGGAGAAACGACUCGGAUUUUCGCCCCGAUCAAUCAGCUGCUGUAUCGCGGCUGGAAUGGUACUUUUAUACGGUAUUAAGCCAAGCUCCGUUUGACGGCAGGAAAUCGUCCAAAUCCAUCCUGGUUUCUUCGGGUUCGUUUCAAUUUGAUCACAGACUGUUCGCGGCAUCCAUGCAGAACGAGUCAGCGGCCACGACUCGAUACUCUAUAUAUUGGUAAGAGGCACUUUACGAAAGAGGGUUGUGUUUCAGGUGUCGACGAAGAAAAAGAUGGCCGGAGAUGGAAACACAGAGGGAAGAGAAAAAGAGGAAGAGAGAGGAGGAGGGGGGGAGAAUGCGCCAAGGUAAGAGGCUGAAGAGCCCAUCUGGCUUCCAAUCAGAGUGUUGCCACCAGCACAUGUGUUCACGGCACGUUGAAGGUGGCGGUUCAAUCAACGGGGGUGCAUCUCUCCCUUCCUUAUCCCUUCGCUCUGGCAACUUUAUAUCACAUAAUCGAGCUUCGAAGCCGCCGCUCCUCCCAUCUUCCUACUCCAUCUUUUCCUUAACGUUCUACCUUCUCUCUUGUCUGCCUUUAUUCGGCCUUCUACCAGACGCUUCGCGAGACCUUCCUUAGACGUCAUCAAACCCUUCGACAAACCCUUUUCAAUUCUGUCGAACAAUUUUAAGGUGUUAGUAGCGAGUUAGCGAUCACAGAUGUUGCGAACUGUGGAAAGAAAUGAAAUGAUACUUGUGAUAGGGAAAGAGGAAAGAGGACCAAGAGGAUUACAAUAUUAUUUUUCUACGUAAUUACACUUCAGCAUCGUACAAAGGUCCUUAACGAACCAUUAUUCCAUCAUUUUAAUAAUAUUCCAUUUGAAUACAUAUAACCUAACCGCAACCAUCUUGAAAUAUUAAUUUACAUAAUAACAGUAUCUUUCUACUUUUCUGCCUAUUACACUUCAAUUGAAAUAUUUUUCCAUCAUAUGGAAGUCCUUAAUAGACCAUCAUUUCAAUAAUAUUCCAUCUGGAUACGUAUAAAGUGUGACCAGAGAAUCAUUGAAUGGUUGAUUUGGGUUGUUAAAUGGGGUCGAAUCAGUUCACGAGAAGAUUUGAAUCGUCUUUUAGGCAAAUUCCACUUUUCUCUCUUUCUUAUGCAAAUACGGAACUCCUGCUGCUAGUUCAAAUUUAAACGAGCUCCACUCAUCGUAUGCUAAUUUACCGAUUCUCCCUCGGCUAUGGAACUUUCGAAUACUUCAAUCCAGCAGGACAAUGGGUGCAACUGGUACGUAUUUUUAUACCCGAUUUAAUAUAUUGAAAAAAAUAACGUAGCGUAAUGAUACAUUGAAUAGAAAACCACAGGUGAGAAAAAUUAUGUUAAUGUGGUUUUAAUAUGGUGUCCAUGAAGAGAAGGGUGCAGA